rnacentral:rRNA from 1 species
AACGCUAGCUACAGGCUUAACACAUGCAAGUCGAGGGGAAACGACAUCGAAAGCUUGCUUUUGAUGGGCGUCGACCGGCGCACGGGUGAGUAACGCGUAUCCAACCUGCCCACCACUUGGGGAUAACCUUGCGAAAGUAAGACUAAUACCCAAUGAUAUCUCUAGAAGACAUCUGAAGGAGAUUAAAGAUUUAUCGGUGAUGGAUGGGGAUGCGUCUGAUUAGCUUGUUGGCGGGGUAACGGCCCACCAAGGCGACGAUCAGUAGGGGUUCUGAGAGGAAGGUCCCCCACAUUGGAACUGAGACACGGUCCAAACUCCUACGGGAGGCAGCAGUGAGGAAUAUUGGUCAAUGGGCGAGAGCCUGAACCAGCCAAGUAGCGUGAAGGAUGACGGCCCUACGGGUUGUAAACUUCUUUUGUGCGGGAAUAAAGGAGCCUACGUGUAGGCUUUUGCAUGUACCGUAACGAAUAAGCAUCGGCUAACUCCGUGCCAGCAGCCGCGGUAAUACGGAGGAUGCGAGCGUUACCCGGAUUUAUUGGGUUUAAAGGGAGCGUAGACGGGUUUUUAAGUCAGCUGUGAAAGUUUGGGGCUCAACCUUAAAAUUGCAGUUGAAACUGGAGACCUUGAGUACGGUUGAGGCAGGCGGAAUUCGUGGUGUAGCGGUGAAAUGCUUAGAUAUCACGA